rnacentral:rRNA from 1 species
AACCUCCGCAAUGUGAGAAAUCGCGACGGGGGGAUCCCAAGUGCCAUUCUUAACGGGAUGGCUUUUCAUUAGUGUAAAGAGCUUUUGGAAUAAGGGCUGGGCAAGACCGGUGCCAGCCGCCGCGGUAACACCGGCAGCUCUAGUGGUAGCAGUUUUUAUUGGGCCUAAAGCGUCCGUAGCCGGUUUAAUAAGUCUCUGGUGAAAUCCUGUAGCUUAACUGUGGGAAUUGCUGGAGAUACUAUUAGACUUGAGACCGGGAGAGGUUAGAGGUACUCCCAGGGUAGAGGUGAAAUUCUGUAAUCCUGGGAGGACCGCCUGUUGCGAAGGCGUCUAACUGGAACGGUUCUGACGGUGAGGGACGAAAGUUAGGGGCGCGAACCGGAUUAGAUACCCGGGUAGUCCUAACUGUAAACGAUGCGGACUUGGUGUUGGGGUGGUUUGUAGCUGCUCCAGUGCCGAAGGGAAGCUGUUAAGUCCGCCGCCUGGGAAGUACGGUCGCAAGACUGAAACUUAAAAGGAAA